AUCAUAAAGACGAAGCUUUGGAAACUCUUCUCGACUCACGUCUUGAUCAAGCUAACCGAGCUGACUACUGACUUCCAUCUCCACACUUCAACAGUCUAAGUCGCUUCUAGCAGUUGGAGUCAUCCUCACUCCUGCUGCCUGGAUUCGAUUACAUCGACGACCUUUCAUUGUUCCUUCUUGGUAGCCUUGUGAAUUUUGAUGAGGUCGGUCAUCACAUUACGGUCCAGAACAGCCCAGGCACUGAAGAGUCCACCGUACAAAGCUCCAGAAAAUCCACAUGAGCAUACAUCUUGUCCUGUCAGGAACAGCCCUGCCGCAAGGAAAUCAAGAUCACCAUCCUUCACUAGGAAGCCAAUCACGAAACAAUGAAGCAACUCACUGGCUGCUGUUACCAAUAAGAGUAGGAAAAGCAUGAACACUGUAGCUGAAGCCUUGUAAUGCUGCUUCACAAAUCAUUCUUUUUU